CAAUAGCGUAUAUUAAAGUUGUUGCGGUUAAAAAGCUCGUAGUUGGAUUUCUGCGAAGGACGAACGGUCCACCUUAUGGGUGUGCAUCUGUCAGGCCUUUGCAUCCUCGUGGGGAACGUCGCUGCGCUUCAUUGCGUGGUACGGAAUCCACGACUUUUACUUUGAGGAAAUUAGAGUGUUCACGGCAGGCAAACGCCCUGAAUAUGUUAGCAUGGAAUAAUAAUAUAGGACUUUGGUUUUAUUUUGUUGGUUUCUAGAACUAAAGUAAUGAUUAAUAGGGACAAUUGGGGGCAGUUCGUAUUAACGCGUCAGAGGUGGAAUUCUUAGAUUGCGUUACGACGAACUACUGCGAAAGCAUUUGCCAAGGAUGUUUUCAUUGAUCAAGAACGAAAGUAUGGGGAUCGAAGAUGAUCAGAUACCA
rnacentral:rRNA from 1 species